rnacentral:lncRNA from 1 species
UUAAAUGUGGUGGAGGCAAAACCGGCCAGGUCACGGGGCGGGUGGAUUGCACGGGUCGGCCGAGUGGGUCACGCGAGCUAUAUGAAAAUAGGUUCGCAUGUUUGGCCAACGUGUCAGUCACAGGCUUGCUGGGCACGAUUGCACGUGGAGCUCGUAUAUAGCCGAAUGGUCCCACGCGAAUUAGCUGGUUCUGCAUGUAGGGCCAGCAGGCCUCACGUGUGGGCGCAUGCCCAGUGUGGGUAUACACAUACUUGCGCGUGAAUGGGGCAUAAGGGUUGGCCCACAUGUUCGGCACAUGUGUGGUUGGCCUCGUUCAUACCUGGGAGACUCUACCCACGUAUUGAGGAACUUUCAUGCCCUUUGUUUUCUAGCAGGGUAUAUGGUCACUUCGAUUUGUGUAUUAUGGUCUCUCAGAAUACCAGUAUACAUAGGGGUCAAGUAUCAUGUACGUGCAUUGUGAAAUGUGUACCCCACGAGUACCCAUACCUAGACAACAUCUCUGCCUUCUUCUUGGGCUGGGACUUUUGGACAUAAUCGUUCUUUAGUGGUGAGGCCCAUUAUCCUUCGAGUUUCUGGCACCUUCUAAUGU